rnacentral:rRNA from 1 species
UUGCUCUUAUGAAGUUAGCGGCGGACGGGUGAGUAACACGUGGGUAACCUGCCCAUAAGACUGGGAUAACUCCGGGAAACCGGGGCUAAUACCGGAUAACAUUUUGAACCGCAUGGUUCGAAAUUGAAAGGCGGCUUCGGCUGUCACUUAUGGAUGGACCCGCGUCGCAUUAGCUAGUUGGUGAGGUAACGGCUCACCAAGGCAACGAUGCGUAGCCGACCUGAGAGGGUGAUCGGCCACACUGGGACUGAGACACGGCCCAGACUCCUACGGGAGGCAGCAGUAGGGAAUCUUCCGCAAUGGACGAAAGUCUGACGGAGCAACGCCGCGUGAGUGAUGAAGGCUUUCGGGUCGUAAAACUCUGUUGUUAGGGAAGAACAAGUGCUAGUUGAAUAAGCUGGCACCUUGACGGUACCUAACCAGAAAGCCACGGCUAACUACGUGCCAGCAGCCGCGGUAAUACGUAGGUGGCAAGCGUUAUCCGGAAUUAUUGGGCGUAAAGCGCGCGCAGGUGGUUUCUUAAGUCUGAUGUGAAAGCCCACGGCUCAACCGUGGAGGGUCAUUGGAAACUGGGAGACUUGAGUGC